rnacentral:rRNA from 1 species
GACGAACGCUGGCGGCGUGCCUAAUACAUGCAAGUGGGACGCAAGGGAACACACUGUGCUUGCACACCGUGUUUUCUUGAGUCGCGAACGGGUGAGUAACGCGUAGGUAACCUGCCUAUUAGCGGGGGAUAACUAUUGGAAACGAUAGCUAAUACCGCAUAAUAUUAAUUAUUGCAUGAUAAUUGAUUGAAAGAUGCAAGUGCAUCACUAGUAGAUGGACCUGCGUUGUAUUAGCUAGUUGGUAAGGUAAGAGCUUACCAAGGCGACGAUACAUAGCCGACCUGAGAGGGUGAUCGGCCACACUGGGACUGAGACACGGCCCAGACUCCUACGGGAGGCAGCAGUAGGGAAUCUUCGGCAAUGGACGAAAGUCUGACCGAGCAACGCCGCGUGAGUGAAGAAGGUUUUCGGAUCGUAAAGCUCUGUUGUAAGUCAAGAACGUGUGUGAGAGUGGAAAGUUCACACAGUGACGGAGCUACCAGAAAG